GGAUUGUGGCUCAGUGGUAGAGCACUCACCUAGCAUGCCAUAUGCCCUGGUUUCGAUCCUCAACACCA
rnacentral:tRNA from 1 species